rnacentral:siRNA from 1 species
UCGUCCUGGUCGAGGGUUCCGC